GCGCAAGUAGCCCAAUUGGCAGAGGCACUGGUCUUAGAAACCAGAAGUUAAGAGUUCGAAUCUCUUCUUGCGUA
rnacentral:tRNA from 2 species